rnacentral:lncRNA from 1 species
UCCAAGCUGUUUAAAGGCACAGUCAACUUAGUAUAUGUAAACUUCUGACGCACUGGAAUUGUGAUACAGUGAAUUAUAAGUGAAAUAAUCUGUCUGUAAACAAUUGUUUGAAAAAUGACUUGUGUCAUGCACAAAGUAAUGUCCUAACAGACUUGCCAAAACUGUAGUUUGUUAACAAGAAGUUUGUGGAGUGGUUGAAAAACGAGUUUUAAUGACUCCAACCUAAGUGUAUGUAAACUUCCAACUUCAGCUGUACCUCCAGAUGUUGCAACCGUGAAUGUAAUUUACUUUCAUUCUUUCUUCAGUGCUCUCUUUCUCUCUGUGUGUCUUUUUCUCUGUGUGUCUUUAUCUCUGUGUCUUUCUCUCUCUCUGUGCCUCUCUCUGUGUCCCUCUCUGUGUCUUUUUCUCUCUCUGUCUCUGUCUCUCUCUGUGUCUCUCUCUGUGUCUCUCUCUGUGUCUCUUUCUCUGUGUGUCUGCGUCUCUCUCUCUGUGUCUCUUUCUCUCUGCGUCUCUCUUUCUGUGUCUCUUUCUCUCUGUGUCUCUUUCUCUCUGUCUCUUUCUCUCUGUGUCUCUUUCUCUCUGUGUCUCUUUCUCUCUGUGUCUCUUUCUGUCUCUGCGUCUCUCUCUGUCUCUUUCUCUCUGUGUCUCUUUCUCUCUGUGUCUCUUUCUCUCUGCGUCUCUCUCUGUGUCUCUUUCUCUCUGUCUCUCUGUGUCUCUUUCUCUCUGUCUCUUUCUCUGUGUCUGCGUCUCUCUGUCUCUUUCUCUCUGUGUCUCUGCGUCUCUCUCUGUGUCUGUCUCUUUCUCUCUGUGUCUCUUUCUCUCUGUGUCUCUGCGUCUCUCUCUCUGUCUCUUUCUCUCUGUCUGUCUCUCUGUGUCUCUGCGUCUCUCUCUGUGUCUCUUUCUGUGUCUGUCUCUGUCUCUCUGUGUCUCUGCGUCUCUCUCUCUGUGUCUCUGUCUCUCUGUGUGUCUGUAUGUCUCUCUGUCUCUCUUUCUCUCUGUGUCUCUGCGUCUCUCUCUCUCUGUCUCUUUCUCUCUGUCUGUCUCUCUGUCUCUCUGUGUCUCUGCGUCUCUCUCUGUGUCUCUUUCUUUCUGUGUCUGUCUCUGUCUCUCUGUGUCUCUGUCUCUCUGUGUCUCUGCGUCUCUCUCUCUGUGUCUCUGUCUCUCUGUGUGUCUGUAUGUCUCUCUCUCUGUCUCUCUUUCUCUCUGUGUCUCUGCGUCUCUCUCUCUGUGUGUCUGUAUGUCUCUCUCUCUUUCUGUCUCUGUCUCUCCCUCAACUAACUGCAACUGUUGCUUUUCUGUUGCAGAGGAGGUAGAUGAAUUUGAUGAGCCAUUUGAGGAGUUCACAGAAGAGCAUACCGAAGUAGAAGAACAGAUUGAAGAUGCACCAACAGGUAAACUUGAACUAAGAAUCAACAUUUCACAGAAUCUACAUUUUCCAGCUGGAUGUAGCCCUACUAUACUGAGUACAUAA